GCAGAUGUGGAAAUGUCAAAACACAAACCGAAAACGUAAAAACUGCGAUAACAACGACGACAUAAAAUGUAAAGUAAAGCAAAGAAUUUGUGAGUGAACGAUUGUACUUUUCUUUAAUUAUUGAAAUAAUAUCAUAAGCAAAGUGCAAAAAUUAAAUAAAAAUACUAACAGUGAAUAUAUGGAUGAAACAAAAAAAUUCUCUAAACCAUAGGUGGUGCAGUUUUCGGUGAUAAAUUACAUCCAUAUGCAUAGAACUUAAAAUGUGUAUAAAAUAUUGUAAACAAUACUGCAUUAUUGAUACAAAAACAUGCAAUUAAAAAUGCGAAAACGUGUUUAAGCUUUAAAUGCAAAAAACGUGCGUAUAAAAAAUUUGCUAAGCAGAAUUCUGUUAUCGCAUUGAAUAAUUAAAACAAAUCUAUUUGAAAUAAAAAAACAAAAUAUUAUCUGCCAUUAAACUUUAAAUAAGUUUAUUUUCGCGAAACUUCACCAUAAAUUAUUUACUUUAUAAAAGCAAAAGAGAAUGACGAAUGUACAAAGCAAGUUUCUGACUCCAGUGCUAUGCACCUGCCAAGAAUUUCAACACCCAUGGACCAAACAUUGUGCAAAUGCUUCAGCUGGUCUGCUACUAGCUUCAAUACCAUAUUGCCUGCGCGUAUAUACAAUGGUAUAUAUGAUAUCGCUUAUGAUGCGACAUCGCAUACCUAAAAGAGACGAUCUCAUUAAGACAAUACGUGGGAUCUUGCAAUCCACAG